AGAACACAGAUAAAGCGGGCUAGGUACAAAUUAAAGUAGUCAAUCUUUUCAGUGCUUUACUAUACCUGUAGCCAGCUGUGUUUGAGUUCAUUUCUUUUUCAUCUUCAUGCACCUUCUUCAUCUUCUUUCUCUGAAUGUCUUAGCUGAAAGUACUCUGUGUGUCUAGUCCUAACAGGAAAAAACAGUCCUAAGGAAAUGAAACGGUCCCUGUCCCUGACAUAAGAUAAUCUUGGCAGGGUGUGGAGUGAAAUCCUUAAAUUCUCUUCUGUGACUUCUCAGCAUUAGUGAGCCUGUUAUCGUCACGUGAAGCGUUUGUGAAGUCAGGGAAUGACAGUGACUUUAAAGGAGAAUUCUCAAAAGAGUCAUUUCUUCAGAUAAACUACUGCUUCGUUGUAGAGAGAUUUUCCCCGUUAUUUUUAAAUGCUUGUUGGCAUUCUUCAGAAAGCAUGGCAAAACUUUAUUCCAGUAACUCUUCUUCCUUUGUGCCGUCAACUUGCUGCCUUCUGACAUCUGACAUGAUGAAGAUAAUCUUUUAUACUGAAUUUUCAAAAGUUAAUCAUGACAAAAUAGAGCACUUACUUACCUGAACCUUCUCCUCUGUGAUGAAUCUCCAAUUCCUAGCUGUCAACUUAUUCUCCACGUUGUAAGAAAUAUGGCUUGAUAGCUUCCCAGUACAGCAGAAGCUUUGCAACUGCAGCAAAGAGGCUUUACCCAGUAAGUGAACAGAAGCAAAACACCAUCUGAUACUCUUGGUGCACAAAGCAGAUUUAUGUAAUUUGAUUUUCUUAAUAUAUGUAUCUUUAACGUAUUUUAAUGUAAACACAUUGAAAAUCUCCCAAACAAGGCCUUCCAUAUCAAGGCUUUUAUGCAGUUUUUUUGUUUGCUGUAUUGUGAUACUUUUGCUUAGCUUGUACUUUCUCUAGGAAAAUAGCAUUCAGUUUAGCUCUUGGGUUCUCUAUUGUUGUUUCCAGAGUAUGUAUAUUUAAUUAUAUAUACAUUUAAAGUGUGGAUAUAUUCUAUGUUAUAUGUAUUCAAUUUUUAGAUGUUUAUGUUCAUAUAAAUAUAAACAUACAUAUUCAUGCACACACGUGCAUACACAAGACUUUUAGUUCUUUUUCUUGCCUCUUUUGUUAUUUAGGA
rnacentral:lncRNA from 1 species